ACCACUUUUCUCCCGCUCUAUGAGCAGAUCCGUGUGUUCCAUUCGAGCGUGUGCUGUGCCCCGUCAUUGUGUGCACAAGAAUCUGCAUGCGCACGUAUAUAUACGUAUACAAAGAUGGAGGGAACGCUCGUACUGGAGCGUGCAAUGCACACUAGCACGAUAGGUGGUAGGACCCGGAGGAUGAGGCCUUCCUUGGCUCCGAAGAAGGUACCGCUAUCGCCCUCUGACCUCUCGAGGCGAGCGAACGAGGCCUCCUUCCACCGGUAAUUUUGCCUUCGGUCCCGGCUUCCUGGUGCUACCCAGAUCUAGAUCAUCGAAAAUCGAAGACGAGGGUCUCCCCGGUUUCGCGAGAAGAGAGAGCCUCGCGCUCUUCACGCUAAGGACGAGCGUACCGGAUCGAUCUAACCGGCGAGACUCCCUCGAGGAGUCUUGCACGCGAUAUUCCGAUCGCCAAGAGAUCCACAGAGUAGAUAGUCUGCUUCUGUUGUCUUGUAUCCUUUUUUUUUCCCCCCUCUCGUCCACCCGUGCUCUCUCGAAAUAUCUCGGAAGAGAGUUCUAUUAAGCCCCUUCUCGCGGUGGUUUGGGUGAAAAAAGAUAAACAAGAUAAAAAUAUUCUCCGAGCCGAUUUUCACACGAAUUCAAAGACGCGACAUAAAUUGGGUGUAUCUAUGACGCCGAUCACCCAUAACAUUUCAUCGCUAUCUCAUAUCUCUCUUGUUCAUAGACGCAAACGCUUGGAUAACGCUUGGAAUCAAUUCAACGAUGCCACGCGUGGAAAGUAAAUGUCCAUCGGAUUUUAAUGGGAUGGAUACACACUAUGAAUGGAGGUUUUACCUGGAAAACGGAAAUCGAUCGAUCGAAGCAGGAGGUGAUUCGCAGACUUUUCCCCGUGGGAAUGGAACAUUUACGAAGUGGCGUGGAGCAGAAGCACUCGCAUUCCGAGGUAAAUAGCGAGCGAGCCGGCCGGUGCAACAAAAACAUCGGACGUUAGGCGAAUUCGAGAUGAGAAACCGUUCCUUUCGAGAGAGAAUUAUUCAAAUUGCCGAUGAACCCGCCAGUUGGAACACUGUUCCACGGCGAGCACUGUAACAAGUACGUAGAAGCGGCGGGCUGUUCGCGCGCGCGCGCGGCUACUCGAGAACAACUCGAAACGAGGAGCUCUGCAGGAAAUAAUGUCGUGGGAUUGUUUCGCGCGCUAUCAAGGUUUCACCGGCUCGUUUCGAGGCCACACGUCCCUCUGGAUGUUGAAUAAAUGAACGUGCCUUGGAAUAUCGCGGAGGAAACGAUGCUUUGACGGAUCGUAAAUCGGAUAAACCGUGUAAACAGACAUACCUAGGACGCUUUAUAGAAACGAGGAAGAUGGUUAUAGAUGAACUAUAAUUAUCCAAAAGUUCAGAUUCAAUGACGUGAAAUUGAAUAUUCGGAUCGAGGAAGAAGAACUCGGAGAGAGAAAGAGAGAAAGAGAGAGAGAGACUCGAGGAUGAUGUUGACUCAUUUACGUGUACACGGUGAUCGCGGAUCGGCUCGAUGACUAAUCCCGAUCCGGACAAGGGUAACCACUUUCAAGCAAUACCGAAAUAACGGUCAUCGGCGGGAAGGCAAAUUAACCUGGCCGACUUCGAGCGACCGCUACCGUGGAAAAAAAUCGGAAAUCACAAUGGUCGAUCCUUAAACGGUCGCGCGGCAUUUAAUUUCACUCGGCCCUCGUCGUUUUCACCGUACAAUUCCGAUCGUCGAUCGUUCCGACGAGCCGCGAACAAAGAGAGGAUCUUUGGAUAAAUAGCAGCCGUGCUCGUCCUCCGGUUUCCGCCACGAUUUAACGGGAGUUAAUACUGUAACAAGGACAACGAUUUCAUAUAAUUUCUUUAUUCUGUCUACGAUCGGUGUGUGUAUGUGUGUGUGUGUGUGUAUGCGCGGUGAGAAAUUUAAAUCGAAACGUUGAAGGAACGAUCGAUAAUUAUUCCAAUUUUAUAGAUUUUAUUGAAAAGAUUCGAAGCAUACGUAUAUUUUAUAACAAUUGCAUCGUGUUAUCGAGCUACUUUCCGAGACCGUAUCUCAUUUAAGAUUACGAGGUGAAAAAAUGGCCGUCUUAUGCAAUCUUGAACAAGACUUUAUCAUCCUGUAUUAUCGAGGCGGUUUUAUAAAAUUCGUUUUUACCUCGAACCAAUUAACUGGCGAAUUUAUUAUUAUCUUCCGAAUAUUCUUCCGAACGCGAUCCGAAAUAUAAUCAAAAGCAUCCUUUUCUUAACGCAUGUAUACACGCCUCGCAUCGAUAUUAAAAAUAAAUGGCGUUUAAGAAAGCCGUACCGAUACUCGAACCCGAUAAAUAAGAACUUUAACUUUCCCGUUCUAAAAGUCAGCAAGGGAAUUAAUAAUCGCGAUCGCGUAAAACGUAAUUAAAAGCGAAGAAUAUAACCAAUUUUCGGCUUGACGAGCCUCCUCUCGGGGCUAAGUACGAUCAAAUUAGCGUCCACCCGGUUUCGGUUUAUUUAUUUCCGGUCGACCGUUCGCGCGAAGAAUUCCCAGGCGAAGGUGGGGCAAGAAAUGGCUUCGUAUCUCGUCCGGUAAGCGAUCAUCGUUGCCUCGGGUCGCACGAUUAAGGACGCCAUUCCACUUCGUCUCCGCCUCGCGACCGGAGAGAAGAGAGAAUCUUGAAAAACCACGGCCACGGCCGAGUGUCAUCGCUGCCAGGUAGAAGAUAAAAUCGGCCAAUCUACGUACGAAACCAUCCUCCCCUCUUCUAUUCCUCUCUCUUUCGAAAGGUGAACCGAUAAAAGGCGGUUUAUACGAGCGCGUUACGAAGAAAAGGGCGGCGGCGAAGAGAGGGAAAGGGGGAGAGGGAAAAGAAGGCGAGGAGGAUCCCGAAAAGAACGAAAGAGAACGGCCGUUCGUUUUAAUCGCUAAUCGCCAAUUACCUGGGGCGCCCCAAACCCCCACAAGCAUUUUAACGAGCCGCCGUGUCGCCCGGCCCGGAAUUUUACUCUUCUGGACGCUCGGCUUCCAAGUCGUCCACCGACGAUUUCGGACCCCGCAACGUUCGCCGUAUCUCUCCCCUCGCCGUAUCUCUCCUCUCCCUUUAACCUGUUUCCCUUCCACCUUUCUUUGCUCCGUCCCUCGCGCUACGAUUCGAGCCUCUAACGUUCGAGCGUGUGCGUAUGCGCGCGCGUAUACAAUUAGCGCAUACUUGGACGCGCGGUGUGUGUGUGAGCGCGGGUUAAACGGUCGAUUUCGGUGUUCGAAACAGAGAUCGCGGAAUCGUUUCCAGAGAACGUUCGAAGAGAAGAGGAAUUAUCGCGGUUCCUGGAUGGCUGGAG